UUGAAAGGGAAACGAUUGAAGUCAGUCAUGCCGGUGGGAAUCAACUUAGGGGAAACUCUAGGUGCACUUCUUCGCUUGGCAGGUCAACGUCGAUUUUGAAUGUCAUAAAAUAAUUGGGGGAAGGUAGCUCCUUCGGGAGUGUUAUAGCCCUUGAUAGAUGUGAUGUUUGGGGUCGAGGAUUGCAACGGAUACCCUCUGGGGCUAGCCGCCUGAUCUCUAAUCGGUGUUGGGUUACGGAUAGCAUGCUGACCGUGAUCUAAUUACUGGUUAAAAGGUUAGAGCANGCAUAACUNCGUUAAGGAUGUUGACGUA
rnacentral:rRNA from 1 species